rnacentral:rRNA from 1 species
AGAGUUUGAUCCUGGCUCAGGACGAACGCUGGCGGCGCGCUUAAUACAUGCAAGUCGAGCGAGAACCAGGGCUUCGGCCCUGGGGACAGCGGCGAACGGGUGAGUAACACGUGGGUAAUCAACCCUCGACACUGGGAUAGCCCGGGGAAACCCGGAUUAAUACCGGAUACCCCGUCCGGCCUUCGGGCCGGCCGGAAAAGGUAGCUUCGGCCUCCGGUCGGGGACGAGCCCGCGGCGGAUUAGCUUGUUGGUGUGGGUAAUGGCCCACCAAGGCGACGAUCCGUAGCUGGUCUGAGAGGACGAUCAGCCACACUGGGACUGAGACACGGCCCAGACUCCUACGGGAGGCAGCAGUAGGGAAUCUUGCGCAAUGGGCGAAAGCCUGACGCAGCGACGCCGCGUGAGGGAAGAAGGCCUUCGGGUUGUAAACCUCUUUCAGGAGGGACGAAGCCACUCGGGUUAAUAGCCCAGAGGGUGACGGUACCUCCAGAAGAAGCCCCGGCUAACUACGUGCCAGCAGCCGCGGUAAUACGUAGGGGGCAAGCGUUGUCCGGAUUUAUUGGGCGUAAAGAGCGUGUAGGCGGCCAAACAGGUCCACUGUGAAAACUCGAGGCUCAACCUCGAGAGGUCGGUGGAAACCGUAUGGCUAGAGUCCGGAAGAGGAGAGUGGAAUUCCCGGUGUAGCGGUGAAAUGCGCAGAUAUCGGGAAGAACACCCGUGGCGAAGGCGGCUCUCUGGGACGGUACUGACGCUGAGACGCGAAAGCGUGGGGAGCGAACAGGAUUAGAUACCCUAGUAGUCC